GCGGAUGUGGCGGAACUGGCAGACGCGCAGGCUUCAGGUGCCUGUGGCCUUACGGCCGUGUAGGUUCGAUUCCUAUCAUCCGCA
rnacentral:tRNA from 1 species